UCCUGCCAAGUCCUGCUGUUGUAAUUCUGGACUGCAAAUCCCAGAGACCUUGGGAACAGUAGGAAGAGGAAAUGAACAUAUAGCCAGAGAGUUGGGCUAUAGUACCCUUCAGCUUCUGGCCUGAGCCACUGCAGACAUGUUGCUGCAUUUCCUGAAUCAAAGUUGCAUCACUCCUGUUCUGCAAAUGAGAGAAGAAUCAGUCUCACUUUGAUUGGAACUACAGCACGAAACUUUCUAACCAGUGCCUCAAACCCUGUACCACAGCAGCAGCUAUGCUCCUUUGAAUACCCAGGAGUGCUGGAUACUAUGGAAAUGAGGAAAAUGAAUUACGUGGUGUGAGGAAGCAAGUGCAAGCAUGGGGGCGAGCGCGGCAGGGGAGAACAGAGUGCCGCUCCCAGAGCUGUUGCAUCAUUCAGAUAGAAGCUCUGAGAAGGGAGCGGCAGGAAAACACGAGGUCGGGAGAGAAGGGAAGGAAGAGAGAUCCUGCGGAGGAGCUGUGAAGAAGCUAAUAGCGCUCAUGUGAUUCGAGGGGGAACGGAGUGAGAGGGAGGAUUCCCAGAAAGGCUCUGAGUGAUGCAAGACUACCGUCGGUAACAGUAAGAACAGGAAAAAAAGGAUUUAUACUUAAAAAUGUUUUGUUUACAUUAAAAGACUGUUUCUGUUGGGUGUCAAGAAGAUUCAAGCUUACAGGUCAGAGAGAAGACAGAUUGGUGACUUCAGUUGGAGUAAAGAUAAACGGAGUUCAUGCACAGAGAUCUGAGGAGAUAAGAGCUCUCUUAAAGUUGGAAGACACUGAAUGAAAAUAAAAGGAAGGAAAGAAGAUUCCAGGAGUGAUUCAGUUCAUUAGGACUAAGUUCAGUUCAUUUGUGUUUUAACUGCUAAAAAAAAAAAAACAAAGUUGUUGUGUGUGUUUGCGAAGAGUUACAAAGUUAAUACUUUAAGAGGUUUGAAAGCUACACAACGAACAUCUUCUGUUUGACUGCGUGUGGAACUUGAGCGAAUCUGUAUAGAAAAAUAAAGAGAAGUAAAUGGUCUUAACUAAA